GUAGGUGGCAAGCGUUGUCCGGAAUUAUUGGGCGUAAAGCGCGCGCAGGCGGUUCUUUAAGUCUGAUGUGAAAGCCCACGGGCUCAACCGUGGAGGGUCAUUGGAAACUGGAGAACUUGAGUACAGAAGAGGAAAGCGGAAUUCCACGUGUAGCGGUGAAAUGCGUAGAGAUGUGGAGGAACACCAGUGGCGAAGGCGGCUUUCUGGUCUGUAACUGACGCUGAGGCGCGAAAGCGUGGGGAGCAAACAGGAUUAGAUACCCUGGUAGUCCACGCCGUAAACGAUGAGUGCAAAGUGUUAGGGGGUUUCCGCCCCUUAGUGCUGCAGCUAACGCAUUAAGCACUCCGCCUGGGGAGUACGGCCGCAAGGCUG
rnacentral:rRNA from 1 species